UACCAGCACCCCGAGUGGUCGGGACGAUUAUUGGGCCUAAAGCAUCCGUAGCCGGUUCUACAAGUCUUCCGUUAAAUCCACCUGCUUAACAGAUGGGCUGCGGAGGAUACUAUAGAGCUAGGAGGCGGGAGAGGCAAGCGGUACUUAGUGGGUAGGGGUAAAAUCCGUUGAUCCAAUGAAGACCACCAGUGGCGAAGGCGGCUUGCCAGAACGCACUCGACGGUGAGGGAUGAAAGCUGGGGGAGCAAACCGG
rnacentral:rRNA from 1 species